UUCAAUUAUGCUUAAGUGUCCCUUUUAUACUUGGUCUGAAUGACACAAAAAAUACUUAACUCCAUGCCGUGGAGCUCAUCGCAGACACUAGGUUCUAUGGCAUGGAGAUAUUGCGGACCUCUAUUGGAAAUUAUAAUUUGAGAUUUACCAGCCUCUGUGCCAACUCCAUAUAUAUAAUGUUGAUCCCAGACUUUGUGCCAUGCUUUCGAACCUUGUUCCAAUAUCUUUGUGCUCUGUAUGUUACUCCAAGUGCUCCCAUAAUCCAA
rnacentral:lncRNA from 1 species